CCUGGCUGGGUUCUCCAGACCGACGCAGUCACCACGGUUCCCGGCUCCCGGCCCCCGGGACCUGUUCCUAGCGGAGCAUGGAGGGAAGAACCCAAGACUCUGCAUCUCUAGCAAGUUCUCAGGUGAAGGAGACGCCACUGGUCCAGGGACCACACUUUGCGAAACAUUGUCGUAGGGAACCUGGCUUAAGACAGUUGGUACCAGGAGAAGCAGGCUGGAAGGAGGGAUUCCGGAGUUGGAUGACCUGCCUGAGUUCAUGGAUUGUAGGAGUCAGCAGUAGAAGAAUGCAAGAUGGCUGUCUGUGUGCUAGAGAGCCAGAUCAAACCGGUUGAAAGUUGAAGGUCUGGUGCUCGAUGCAGAGUCCAGUGUGAGUCUGCGUAGGAAAUUCAAAAAGUCUCCUUAUGGAAAGCUGAAGAACCAGCCUGCACUGGAACCCUGAGGGAACUGGAGAUGAAUCUUCAAAGGCAGUGGUGAAAACCAGAGCCCUUCUGAAGGAGAAAAAGGGAAGACUUCCUCCUUUCCAGUUUUAUUCCAUCCAGGCUACCAGCCUAU